rnacentral:rRNA from 1 species
AUUGAACGCUGGCGGCAUGCUUUACACAUGCAAGUCGAACGGCAGCACGGGAGCUUGCUCCUGGUGGCGAGUGGCGAACGGGUGAGUAAUGCAUCGGAACGUACCCAGUAGUGGGGGAUAGCCCGGCGAAAGCCGGAUUAAUACCGCAUAUUUCCUGAGGGAGAAAGCGGGGGACCUUCGGGCCUCGCGCUACUGGAGCGGCUGAUGUCGGAUUAGCUAGUUGGUGAGGUAAAGGCUCACCAAGGCGACGAUCCGUAGCUGGUCUGAGAGGAUGAUCAGCCACACUGGGACUGAGACACGGCCCAGACUCCUACGGGAGGCAGCAGUGGGGAAUUUGGACAAUGGGGGCAACCCUGAUCCAGCCAUGCCGCGUGAGUGAAGAAGGCCUCGG